CAGUCAAGGGAAGCCGGAGCCUGGAGAAGACGAGCCGCGCGGUCGGAGGCGCGGUGCGGGACCAGGACAGUGGGGCCUGGCCGUGCGCUUCGCCCUGGCGGUCCAGGAGCUGUCUCGCCCUCCGAAGAGUUACGGGAGGUGGCACUGCUUUUGCUCUCUGCCCUUUCGACACGUGAAGGAGAGAAUCAUUCGGAACCCAGGACUCAGACCGGUGGCCGAGGGCCUGUGCAGCCGCGAGCACGACAGCGCAGCGCUGGCCGCGUCCGCGCGCGUUCCUCCGACAAGGGCAGAGCAGUCGACCAGCGCGCCCCAGUCUCGAUCGGGUUCAAGGCGACUCUUGAGGACGAAGGCGGCUGGUCCCAGAGCACCUCGGAGAAAGCGGACGCCUGUCUUGGCCUUUGGAAGACGCUCAAGGACCACAUGGCCGGGUCCACGGUCUCUGCCCUGCGCCUCGAGGGCGAGGCAGCCCAGGUCUUGCCCUUCUUGCCGUCCACUUCGCCCCCAGCCGACGCCUGGAGCUUGAGGUGACUGAGCGCUCUCAGGUCUGUGCGCUUUUGAAUGUUGAAGAUCAGAGCUCCCCACCCCCGCCCUCCCGGAAGGGAUGUACACACUCUGGUUACACGUGCACGUGUGCUCCUGUGCACACGCCUGCACGGCCUCUGGAGGACGGGAGCCGGGCGGGCCCUUCUCACACCGUUGCUUGGGCUCGGCUCUGUGCGCUGCCUCCGUGGCUCUGCCCUCCCGCCGGAGACGGGGCCUGUAGGGAGCCGGGCUGGCCCAGGCGUCUCCCCAGGGAGCCGGUCUCGACCGUCUUCUGGGCUCCCUCCUGCCGCAGGUGAAGUGAAGCCGCCUUUGCGAGGAGGCAGCUGUCACGGGUCCGAGCUGGGAGGACCCGUAACUCCCUGGAAUUUCCCAGCAUCUGUGGGGUCGGGCAGCGCUCAGGGGCUCAGCAAGUGAUGGGGUCUCAACCCGGCCCUCCCCCGAGAGCCAGCCUCACUGUGGCCUGUCGGGCACACUUGGCUGCUUCCAGCCUCCUGGGGAGUCAGUGCAGCCGUGAGGGUCAGACCCAGAGUGGCAUCCAUUCCCCUCCCCCACUCCUGCCAUGGCCAGGGGCAGGCCUGCCUCCCGGGGCUGGGCAGAGAGGACCUGGGAUCCCUCUGCCAUCGGGGCCUCUCAUGUUGGCAGGUCCAGCUUGCCCACCAGACUCCACAGACGCCACCCCGGGGCUUUUCUGUCUGCAUGCAGGGCCUGUGCCAGCUGGUGCCCAAGGGUGGGGUGGGACACUCUGGGGGCAGGAGGGCCUCCAAGGACUUCAGAGACGGAGGAGAGAGGGGGACACGAGAGGGGAAUAGCGGAGGGAAAGAACAGAGCAGAGGCAGAGAGAGCAGGGCCGGGAGAAGGGAGACGGCAGAGCCACCAGGACCCGCGCGCAGCUGUCCCUGGGGAGACGGCCUCG
ensembl:lncRNA